GACCGUACGUCCAGUGCCGGCGCAAUAUGCCAUGCCGUAUGUCCCAUCUCAGGCCCACACGCGCCAUGCGCCAUAUGCCCGCACACUGACCCGUACGCGCAACCGCGAGGGUCGGCUCUGAUACCAUUUGUAACACCCCGUCCUCCAAAGCCGCACCGCCCAGCCCUUCCGAGGGGCGGGCACGCGUACACAUAGCACCCUGCUUACACUUUCGUCCUCGCUUCGUGUAAAAGUGGUACCAGAGCUGUGUUGACUGUAGGACGUUAGCCUAGUUAGAAAAUGGUCGUAUUUAAGGAUUAUAAUAAUCUAGUAGCCAUUCCUACCUUUCUUAAUUUAAAUCUACUUAAUUAUUCUUAAACUUGAUUUGUCUCAUCCUUAUUUCUAUUAUCUAGCUUCAUUCAAAAUUUUAUUCUAAAAAUUUCUUCUUUCUUUCUGCUAGAUGGCUCGCACCCGGUUGACCGCACGCAAGAGCACCCGUCCGCCGCGUCAUGGCAUCGCGCCGUCGCACGCCCCCGUGGAUCCUUGGGACGAGGAAGAAG
rnacentral:lncRNA from 1 species